rnacentral:rRNA from 1 species
UACGUAGGGUGCAAGCGUUAAUCGGAAUUACUGGGCGUAAAGCGUGCGCAGGCGGUUAUGUAAGACAGGUGUGAAAUCCCCGGGCUUAACCUGGGAACUGCAUUUGAGACUGCAUAGCUAGAGUACGGUAGAGGGGGAUGGAACUCCGCGUGUAGCAGUGAAAUGCGUAGAUAUGCGGAGGAACACCGAUGGCGAAGGCAAUCCCUGGACCUGUACUGACGCUCAUGCACGAAAGCGUGGGGAGCAAACAGG